rnacentral:rRNA from 1 species
UACGUAGGGUGCGAGCGUUUGUCCGGAAUUAUUUGGGCGUAAAGAGCUUGUAGGCGGUUUGUCGCGUCUGCCGUGAAAAUCCGGGGCUCAACCCCGGACUUGCGGUGGGUACGGGCAGACUAGAGUGUGGUAGGGAAGACUGGAAUUCCUGGUGUAGCGGUGAAAUGCGCAGAUAUCAGGAGGAACACCGAUGGCGAAGGCAGGUCUCUGGGCCACUACUGACGCUGAGAAGCGAAAGCGUGGGGAGCGAACAGG